rnacentral:lncRNA from 1 species
GGACUCCAUAGCCAGCACCUCAACUGAUCUGGACAAGAAGACUGAGAGGCAGACAGGAAUUCUCUCUCCUUUUCACAGGAGGAAACUGAGGCAUGGGGAGGCUAAGUGACUGACCCAAAGUCAUUUGGUAAGCCUGGACCUGAUCCCAGGUCACAGAAUGGCAGCUAUGCAGAACGGCAGGACAAAGGACAGCCAACCUGUCAAGAGCUCCAGGGAUGCAGUGGCCUGCUGGUCUUUUCACUGUUGUAUCCUCAGUGUGUGCUGUACAGUAGAUGCUCAAUAAAAACCUCCUGAAGGCAUGGAUGUUGCAGUGGUGCCUGAAGUGGUCCAGCAACACUUUGUGAAGAUGGGGGUUUCAAAACUUGGCCUUGAGGGCAGAAGAGGCAGCCCCUCCCCCAGACGCAAAGUGCCCAUUGUUUUUGUUACUGAGCAGCACUGAGAUCGUGCCAGGCAUGGUGUAUGCACUCACCCCACUGAACUCUAACAAGCCUCAUCCCCAUCUUAUCAGUGGGAAGACAAAGCCAGAGAGGUCUGGCCAUCUGAGACAGUGCAGCCAGGCUGUAGCAGAGACCAGACUCAAAAUUCAGGACUCCUU